CCUACGGGAGGCAGCAGUCGAGAAUUUUUCACAAUGGACGAAAGUCUGAUGGAGCGACGCCGCGUGGAGGAUGAAGGUUUUCGGAUUGUAAACUCCUGUCACUGCAGAACAAGGGUAUGCCAGUUAACAGCCGGCGUAUUUGAUGGUAUGCGGAGAGGAGGGGACGGCUAACUCUGUGCCAGCAGCCGCGGUAAU
rnacentral:rRNA from 1 species